rnacentral:rRNA from 1 species
GACGAACGCUGGCGGCGUGCUUGACACAUGCAAGUCGAACGAUGAAGCUGGAGCUUGCUCCGGUGGAUUAGUGGCGAACGGGUGAGUAACACGUGAGCAAUCUGCCCUUGACUCUGGGAUAACUGCGGGAAACUGUAGCUAAUACCGGCUAUGAGCUCUGAAGGCAUCUUCGGGUUUGGAAAGAAUUUCGGUCAAGGAUGAGCUCGCGGCCUAUCAGCUAGUUGGUGAGGUAAUGGCUCACCAAGGCGACGACGGGUAGCCGGCCUGAGAGGGUGACCGGCCACACUGGAACUGAGACACGGUCCAGACUCCUACGGGAGGCAGCAGUGGGGAAUAUUGCACAAUGGGCGAAAGCCUGAUGCAGCAACGCCGCGUGAGGGAUGAAGGCCUUCGGGUUGUAAACCUCUUUUAGCAGGGAAGAAGCGAAAGUGACGGUACCUGCAGAAAAAGCACCGGCUAACUACGUGCCAGCCGCCGCCGUAA